rnacentral:tRNA from 3 species
CGAAAUCGGUAGACGCUACGGACUUAAAAUCCGUCGACUUUAUAAGUCGUGAGGGUUCAAGUCCCUCUAUCCCC